rnacentral:lncRNA from 1 species
AACGUGCUCGCUAGGACAUCGCAUCCUAUGCAUACGUAUCUUCUCUAACCAGAGUAAGAAUCAGAGCACUCGUAGCUCGGCUAACGCACGCCGAAACAAAACGCUAAAAGAAGACGCUGAGACGUCAAACGAAACACACAACUGGAAACGGAAUGCCAAUCGCUAGUCCUAGAUCCAACUCCGAACAAACAAACGCCAACAGGAAACCGAAUGCC